AGUGAACGCUGGCGGUAGGCCUAACACAUGCAAGUCGAACGGCAGCACAGUAAGAGCUUGCUCUUACGGGUGGCGAGUGGCGGACGGGUGAGGAAUACAUCGGAAUCUACUUUUUCGUGGGGGAUAACGUAGGGAAACUUACGCUAAUACCGCAUACGACCUACGGGUGAAAGCAGGGGAUCUUCGGACCUUGCGCGAUUGAAUGAGCCGAUGUCGGAUUAGCUAGUUGGCGGGGUAAAGGCCCACCAAGGCGACGAUCCGUAGCUGGUCUGAGAGGAUGACCAGCAACCCUGGAACUGAGACCCGGUCCAGACCCCUACGGGAGGCAGCAGUGGGGAAUUUUGGACAAUGGGCGCAAGCCUGAUCCAGCCAUACCGGGGGGGUGAAGAAGGCCUUCGGGUUGUAAAGCCUUUUUGUUGGGAAAAAAAAGCAGCAGGUUAAUCCCCCGCUGUUCUGACGGUACCAAAAAAAUAAGCACCGGCUAACUUCGU
rnacentral:rRNA from 1 species